rnacentral:rRNA from 1 species
UACAGAGGGUGCGAGCGUUGUCCGGAAUCACUGGGCGUAAAGGGCGCGUAGGCGGUCUCUUAAGCGUGUGGUGAAAGCCCGGGGCUCAACUCCGGAUCGGCCGUGCGAACUGGGGGACUGGAGCUUGUCAGAGGCAGGCGGAAUUCCGGGUGUAGCGGUGGAAUGCGUAGAGAUCCGGAAGAACACCGGUGGCGAAGGCGGCCUGCUGGGACAGUGCUGACGCUGAGGCGCGACAGCGUGGGGAGCAAACAGG